GUGGUUUUAGUUUAACUAAAACUUCUGCUUUGCACGUAGAGGAUCCGAGAGUUGCUCGGAAACCACA
rnacentral:tRNA from 1 species